rnacentral:rRNA from 1 species
CAAUAGCGUAUACUAAAGUUGUUGCGAUUAAAAAGCUCGUAGUUGGAUCUCAGGCAUGGGCGCACGGUCCGCCUCGCGGCGGUCACUGUGUGUUUUGUUUCCCAUCCUACGCUUCCCGGUUAUCAGCCCAUGGUGCUCUUCACUGAGCGUUUUGGGUGGCCGGAACGUUUACUUUGAAGAAAUUAGAGUGUUCAAAGCAGGCACGUCGCCUGAAUAAUGGUGCAUGGAAUAAUGGAAUAGGACCUCGGUUCUAUUUUGCUGGUUUUCGGAACACGAGGUAAUGAUUAAGAGGGACAGACGGGGGCAUCCGUAUUGCGGUGUUAGAGGUGAAAUUCUUGGAUCAUCGUAAGACGAACAACUGCGAAAGCAUUUGCCAAGCAUGUUUUCAUUAG